GACGAACCGUCCAAGCGUUAUUCGGAAUCACUGGGCUUAAAGGGUGCGUAGGCGGAGAGUUAAGUCAGAGGUGAAAGCCCACGGCUCAACCGUGGAAGUGCCCCUGAAACGGCAUCGCUCGAGGGAGAUAGAGGCGUGCGGAACUCAGAGUGGAGCGGUGAAAUGCGUAGAUAUUCUCAGGAACACCGGCGGUGAAAGCGGCACUCUGGGUCUUUUCUGACGCUGAGGCACGAAAGCUAGGGGAGCAAACGGG
rnacentral:rRNA from 1 species